GACGAACGCUGGCGGCGUGCUUAACACAUGCAAGUCGAACGGAAAGGCCCUGCUUUUGUGGGGUGCUCGAGUGGCGAACGGGUGAGUAACACGUGAGUAACCUGCCCUUGACUUUGGGAUAACUUCAGGAAACUGGGGCUAAUACCGGAUAGGAGCUCCUGCUGCAUGGUGGGGGUUGGAAAGUUUCGGCGGUUGGGGAUGGACUCGCGGGUUAUCAGCUUGUUGGUGGGGUAGUGGCUUACCAAGGCUUUGACGGGUAGCCGGCCUGGGAGGGUGACCGGCCACAUUGGGACUGAGAUACGGCCCAGACUCCUACGGGAGGCAGCAGUGGGGAAUAUUGCACAAUGGGCGGAAGCCAGAUGCAGCAACGCCGCGUGCGGGAUGAUGGCCUUCGGGUUGUAAACCGCUUUCGCCUGUGACGAAGCGUGAGUGACGGUAAUGGGUAAAGAAGCACCGGCUAACUACGUG
rnacentral:rRNA from 1 species